AAGGAUAAUUUAGUACGAAAGGAAGGAUGAUUCGAUGCCACUGGUAUAUCAGUUGUCUGAUAAGGCAGGCUGAGCAGCUACGCAUCAUUGGAUAACAGCUGAAUGCAUCUAAGCUGGAAACCAUCCUCAAAAAGAGACACCAUUUAGGGCUCUCGUAAAAGACGAGGUUGAUAGGAUUGGGAUGUAAGUACCAAGGUAACGAGGUAUUUAGUCUGCAAUUACUAAUAGCUCGAUGGAUCAAAAAA
rnacentral:rRNA from 1 species